rnacentral:rRNA from 1 species
UGGUGGAGUGAUUUGUCUGGUUAAUUCCGAUAACGAACGAGACCUUAACCUGCUAAAUAGGAACAAGCGACACUUUCGGGCGGAAUGAUACGGACUAUGCUAAGCGUCGCUUCGGCGGCGUGGCCGUAUGGCACCGGUCAUCCGUUCGUCCUUGGCCUACUUCUUAGAGGGACUGCCGGUGUUGCAACCGGAGGAAGUUUGAGGCAAUAACA